CGAUUAUGUUUCAUUCAUAUCAAAACAAGUGUUAGACUGUUUUCUUUUGAUAGUGUAUCAACAGUCAUCAUCUAGUGCAAGAUCAGUUCUUAUGAUCACACUAGGUAUUAUAUUGAGGCUAUUACAAGCUAUUUUUUAAAAAUCAAGUAAGAAGUGAAAAAGCAUUAUAAUAGUGGAGUCUAGUGGAGAAAUUAUAGCAUGGGAGAUAUGGCAGAGCAAUCCUAGAUGGAAGCUCAAAUAUAAUACCUUUUAGGCUAAAUAGCUACUUUUUAAAGACAAAUAGAAGCCUUAAGGAUAAGGGAGUCAACUUUUGUUAGAUUGAAAUUGAAUAAGCCUAGUACAUACUCUAGGAUUUCAAGAC
rnacentral:lncRNA from 1 species